AGCAGUUGGAGACAAUUCUCCGUAGAAUAACAGCGUGCUCCAACUCCCAGUUAAAUAUGACCUUAAAUCCAAGGUCCAACCUUUGCUACUGCGUUAAGAGUCAGUAAAAGGAUACCUACAAGAGACAGAGGAGGUUCCUUUCACCUGAACCUAAACCUAAACAGAGAACCACAUACCAUUCUGGAGGAUGUAGGCACAGUCAAGGCUUCUCAACUAGGCCUGUCGCGA